rnacentral:rRNA from 1 species
AGAGUUUGAUCCUGGCUCAGGAUGAACGCUGGCGGCGUGCCUAACACAUGCAAGUCGAGCGAUCUUCUUCGGAAGAGAGCGGCGGACGGGUGAGUAACGCGUGGGUAACCUGCCUCAUACACAUGGAUAACAUACCGAAAGGUAUGCUAAUACAAGAUGAUAUAAGAGAUUCGCAUGGAUUUCUUAUCAAAGCUCCGGCGGUAUGAGAUGGACCCGCGUCUGAUUAGCUAGUUGGUAAGGUAACGGCUUACCAAGGCGACGAUCAGUAGCCGACCUGAGAGGGUGAUCGGCCACAUUGGAACUGAGACACGGUCCAAACUCCUACGGGAGGCAGCAGUGGGGAAUAUUGCACAAUGGGCGAAAGCCUGAUGCAGCAACGCCGCGUGAGCGAUGAAGGCCUUCGGGUCGUAAAGCUUUGUCCUCAAGGAAGAUAAUGACGGUACUUGAGGAGGAAGCCCCGGCUAACUACGUGCCAGCAGCCGCGGUAAUACGUAGGGGGCUAGCGUUAUCCGGAUUUACUGGGCGUAAAGGGUGCGUAGGUGGUUUCUUAAGUCAGGAGUGAAAGGCUACGGCUCAACCGUAGUAAGCUCUUGAAACUGGGAAACUUGAGUGCAGGAGAGGAAAGUGGAAUUCCUAGUGUAGCGGUGAAAUGCGUAGAUAUUAGGAGGAACACCAGUAGCGAAGGCGGCUUUCUGGACUGUAACUGACACUGAGGCACGAAAGCGUGGGGAGCAAACAGGAUUAGAUACCCUGGUAGUCCACGCCGUAAACGAUGAGUACUAGGUGUCGGGGGUUACCCCCCUCGGUGCCGCAGCUAACGCAUUAAGUACUCCGCCUGGGGAGU